UACGUAGGUGGCAAGCGUUGUCCGGAAUUAUUGGGCGUAAAGCGCGCGCAGGUGGUUUCUUAAGUCUGAUGUGGAAGCCCACGGCUCAACCGUGGAGGGUCAUUGGAAACUGGGGAACUUGAGUGCAGAAGAGGAAAGUGGAAUUCCAAGUGUAGCGGUGAAAUGCGUAGAGAUUUGGAGGAACACCAGUGGCGAAGGCGGCUACCUGGACGGUAACUGACGCUGAGACGCGAAAGCGUGGGUAGCAAACAGG
rnacentral:rRNA from 1 species